rnacentral:rRNA from 1 species
UACGUAGGGUGCGAGCGUUAAUCGGAAUUACUGGGCGUAAAGCGUGCGCAGGCGGUUUUGUAAGCCCGAUGUGAAAGCCCCGGGCUUAACCUGGGAAUGGCAUUUGGGACUGCAAGGCUUGAGUGCGGCAGAGGAGACUGGAAUUCCCGGUGUAGCAGUGAAAUGCGUAGAUAUCGGGAGGAACACCGGUGGCGAAGGCGGGUCUCUGGGCCGAUACUGACGCUGAGGAGCGAAAGCGUGGGGAGCGAACAGG